rnacentral:rRNA from 1 species
UACGAAGGGGGCGAGCGUUGUUCGGAUUUACUGGGCGUAAAGGGCGCGUAGGCGGUCAGCACAAGUCAGUUGUGAAAUCUCCGGGCUUAACUCGGAAAGGUCAACUGAUACUGUGCGACUAGAGUGCAGAAGGGGCAACUGGAAUUCUCGGUGUAGCGGUGAAAUGCGUAGAUAUCGAGAGGAACACCUGCGGCGAAGGCGGGUUGCUGGGCUGACACUGACGCUGAUGCGCGAAAGCCAGGGGAGCGAACGGG